UCCUAAACUGUUGGGACCUCAACUCCCAAAAUCAACCUCAACCUUUCUUUUGUGGUCAUAAAACUUGUGUUUAAAUUUCACUGAUUUCUAUUUACUUAUACUAAAGUUAUUGUGGGAAAACAAAGAAUAAUGCUUAUUUGGGCCCUUUUUUGGCCCCUAAUUCCUAAACUGUUGGAACCAAAACUCCCAAAAUCAAUCCCAACCUUCCUUUUGUGGUCAUAAACCUUGUGUCAAAAUUUCAUAGAUUUCUAUUCACUUAAACUAAAGUUUUAGUGCGAAAACCAAGAAAAUGCUUAUUUGGGCCCUUUUUGGCCCCUAAUUCCUAAAAUGUUGGGACCAAAACUCCCAAAAUCAAUCCCAACCUUCUUUUUGUGGUCAUAAACCUUGUGUCAAAAUUUCAUCGAUUUCUAUUCACUUUUACUAAAGUUAGAGUGCGAAAACUAAAAGUAUUCGGACGACGACGACGCAGACGACAACGCCAACGUGAUAGCAAUAUACGACGAAAAAUUAAAAUUUUUGCGGUCGUAUAAAAAAUAG
rnacentral:lncRNA from 1 species